UCAAAUUCCUAUUAAAAAUGAUAUAUUAACACACUUGUGUGGAUUUAAUACAGGUUCAGAGGCAGCUGUCCAUCAGUCGGGAGAUAAAUGGUUGCUGUGGACAGAAGUCAUGAAAUAAUGUCCAUGUUUUUCUUUUAAAAGUUCAGGGGCAGCUGUCCAUCAGUCGGGACAUAAAUGGUGGUGGACAGAAGUCAUGAAAUAAUGUCAAUGUUUUUCUUUUAAAAGUUCAGGGGCAGCUGUCCAUCAGUCGGGACAUAAAUGGUUGCUGUGAACAGAAGUCAUGAAAUAAUGUC